rnacentral:rRNA from 1 species
UUUUCGUAGGUGAACCUGCGAAAGGAUCAUUAUCGGCACAUCCCAACGAGAAUUCGAACAGGCGUCAGCGCUUCGCAAGAGGCGACGCCGGAGUCUAGAAAGCAUGCGUGGUGGACGGCUCGGUUCCCGCGUCGAUGAAGGACGUAGCGAGAUACGAAAGGUGUUGCGAAUUGCAAGAUUUCGCGAGUCAAUGACCAUCCGAAUGCAUCGCCGCCCUCCCCUCGCCCUCGGGCGGAGGGAGGACGCGUCGGCGACAUCGCCCCGCGCCAGCGCUCUCCCUCGAUCGCGGAGAGGCGACAGUGGACGCGACACCCGACCGACGUCGGCGUGUCCGUGCCAGCGCGCCGGUCGCCGCAGCUCGGUCGAAGGACCGCAGCCACGGACGACAGUCGAGACGCUGCGAUGUCGUCGGCGAGGAAACCCGCUGAACUUAAGCAUAUCAUUAAGCGG